rnacentral:rRNA from 1 species
GUCCACGCCGUAAACGAUGGGUGCUAGGUGUCGCGGGCUUUGACCCCUGCGGUGCCGCAGCUAACGCAUUAAGCACCCCGCCUGGGGAGUACGGCCGCAAGGCUAAAACUCAAAGGAAUUGACGGGGGCCCCGCACAAGCGGUGGAGCAUGUGGUUCAAUUCGACGCAACGCGCAGAACCUUACCUGGGCUAGAAAAUGCAGGAACCUGGUUGAAAAGUCGGGGUGCUCUUCGGAGAACCUGUAGUUAGGUGCUGCAUGGCUGUCGU